UCUUCUUUAGCUCCAAUAUGUCAAGAUCAGGAGGAAAGGCUCCUUCAAAAGAAAACUACAUAGCUCAAAAUGAGUAUGAAAUACAAAGACUCAGGACAAUUGAAGCUAACAAGACGAGGAUGAAGACUUUGGGCAUAAAGCGCAUUGCCGCUUCUUUCACAAGUUUAGUAGAUAGCUCAAAAGUUAAGAAAAGUAAACAAAAGUGUAAUGCAUCUCUUGAGAAAGAUAGUGAUUAUGUACCCGAUGAGAAUGAGGAAGUUGAAUAUGAGAAAGAAACUCACAAUGUGACUUCAAAUAAGAAGGUUAAAAUUAAUGAGAACAAAGAAAGGGAUCGAAGGAGCAAUCUCAUUCCACCAAUGUCAAUUGCUAGGUUAUUAAGAUCAAAUAAAAAAAGACAGGCAAGACAAGGAAAUAAAAACGCUGAUAAAACCGGAAGAGGUAUACAAGGAAAUAUUCAUGUGAUUUCUCAAUUUUGGCAUAUUCUACUAACUUGCCCCAAAAUGUACUUGAUAUAGGACGAGAUGAAGCGCAACACUCUGAAAAUAAUAAUGAUAAUGAUUUGCAAGGUCGAGAAGGUGAUAACAGUUUGGAUCAAACAAGAGAUGAUAUUACUUUAAAAGGACAAGAAGAUUUCAACAAUGCAGACAUGAUUAGAAGUUAUGAUGAUGAAAUACCUAUAAAUGAAGGAGAAGACAACAAUGGAACUAAAAAAAAGAGAAAAACUUAUAAGACUAACAAUCCUAGAGACCCUACAAGAAAUCUUCAAAUGGAAAAAAUGAGACCUGGUGAGAAAAAAAAAAGUGGAUUUUAACAUAAAAGGUCAGCCAAUUGGUGUGAAUAGGGCAUGUUUGGCAAAUUAUUGUGGUGCUCUUGUACGAGAUCCUCUUAACGAUCCACUUUAUGAGGUGAAAGUAUUUUCAUAGAUUUCGAAAGAAAAUAAGGAGAAGAUGUGGCAACUUGUUCUAGUAUAUUUUUUUUUUUUUUUUAAUUUUAUACCUUGAUACAAAUAGAUUAUGUUUUUCUUGCAAUUUUUUUUGUUUUUUUUUUUUUUUUUUUUGUUUUUUUUUUUUUUGGGGCACUAAUAACUACAUUUCUAUGUAUUGUAAAGGAAAAAUUUGAUAUAGGACUUGAGGAUGAAAAGGGACGUGAAAAGAAGUUAAAAGAAAGAAAAAAGUUUAUCAUGGAAUCUUUGAAUAAGAAGUAUAGGAAUUAUCGCGCAAGAUUGAAGAAUACUUAUUAUGAUACAGUUGGUACAAAUGAAGAUCGACUUAAAGAGGAAAAUAUGCCUCCAAAUGUUGAUGAAAAUGACUGGAAAUGACUUGUUGAAUAUUUUGGGUCAACAGAAUUUAAGGUAUAGUAUAAUGUUAUCAUAUAUUUCUUUCUUUCUUUUUUAGUUUUGGACAUUAAUUAUAUAUUACUUUUCAUAUUUUAAAGGCCAUAAGUAAAAGAAAUGCUGACAAUCCAUCUUACCAAGAUGCUGGACAUACUGCUGGGACAAAGAGUUUUGCUCAAAAAGCCGAAGACAUGUUCAAUCGUGACAAAGUAGUGCCAAGCAUGUUGGAUUUAUACGAGGAAACUCAUUCUAAAAGUGAUAAAGCACCUAUCACUGAAGUGGCAAAAGAAACCAUGUAAAAAAUUAAAGAUCUCCUUAUGCAACGUGAGGCA